UAAGUGAUAGCUUAAAUCUAAAGCACCUAUCUGUUAAUUAGGUAAAUGUUUAUAUAAACUCACUUAG
rnacentral:tRNA from 1 species